rnacentral:tRNA from 1 species
GCCCAGGUGGCGGAAUUGGUAGACGCGCUGGACUUAAAAUCCAGUGGCCAUUGUGGCCGUGCCGGUUCGAGCCCGGCCCCGGGUA